GUGUCAGCAGCCGCGGUAAUACAGAGGUCCCAAGCGUUGUUCGGAUUUACUGGGCGUAAAGGGUGCGUAGGUGGCGGGGUAAGUCUGGUGUGAAAGCUUCGAGCUCAACUCGGAAAAGCAUUGGAAACUAUCCCGCUGGAGGGUCGGAGGGGAGACUGGAAUUCUCGGUGUAGCAGUGAAAUGCGUAGAUAUCGAGAGGAACACCAGUGGCGAAGGCGAGUCUCUGGACGACUCCUGACACUGAGGCACGAAAGCUAGGGGAGCAAACAGGAUUAGAUACCCUGGUAGUCC
rnacentral:rRNA from 1 species